UGUCCAGCAACUUCUAUCCCCACCUCGACGUGGUACUGGCCGAGGUACGAUUAACCUUAGGGAAGA
rnacentral:ribozyme from 1 species